CAGAUGUGGACUAGUGUCUUCAAGGGUCUUCUACCCUCUUCUUCUCUACUCUUUCAAAACAAAUCUAAUAACCCUAGCAUUCAGCCGACGACACAUCGAUCUCCACAUCCAUCCAGCUGACACAUCGAUCUCCACCUCCAUCGCCGUCGAAAACUCAUCUCCAUCGAUCUCCAUCUUCAUCUCCGUCGAAGCCCUCAACUCCAUCGAUCUCCAUCUUCAUCUCCGACGAAGCCCUCACCUCCAUCAAUCCCAUCUUCAUCUCUGACGAAACCCUCAUCUCCAUCGAUCUCCAUCUUCAUCUCCGACGAAGCCCUCAUCUCCACCUUCAGAGGCGGUGUAACCGAUCCGGUUAAAAAGUUGCGGUCACAUACCUGAUACAUAUAAUACCAGUAUGAGCAGAAGAAUGAGGGUGAAAACCAAAGAGGAGAAUGUUUUUAGAUAGGUUACACUUUACAUUGACACACUAAUGUUUGUACCUUCUAUACUUUCAGUAGUAGAAAUUGAUACCAAUUUACUUUUAGUAGUAGAAACUGAUACCAAUAUUAUGUUUCAGAUGGAAUACAUUGACUAUUCUAUUA